rnacentral:tRNA from 1 species
GCGGUCGUAGUUUAGUGGUAGAACUGGUGCUUCCCAAGCAUCGGGCGCGGGUUCGAUUCUCGCCGGCCGCACCA